GGGCGUCUAGCUCAAAUGGUAGAGCGCGCGCUUAGCAUCGAUCCUCUCAUCUGAGGAUAGCAUCUUGCGCGAGGUACACGGUUCGAUCCCGUGGUCGUCCA